rnacentral:miRNA from 1 species
GGUUAUUACGGCUGUAAGCGUACCUUGCACUGGAGUGGUAGUGCCUUACGCCGAUAUUCCCUACUC